rnacentral:rRNA from 1 species
AUAAUACUAACGGCGUAAAGCACGACUAAAAAUAAGUUAAAACAUUAGGAACAAAGCAAAACUGGGCCGUAAAAAGCCAUAAGUCACACUAACUACCUAACAACAGACAACUUCCACUCGUGAAAGUUAAGAUACAAACUAAGAUUAGAUACCUUACUAUGCCUAACCAUAACAUAACAAUCAAACUACCUAUUGUUCGCCAAAUAACUACGAGUAAAAACUUAAAAUUUAAAAGACUUGACGGUGCCUCAAAACAACCUAGAGGAGCCUGUCUAAUAACCGAUACCCCACGAUUAACCCAACCCACCCUAGCCUAAUCAGUCUAUAUACCGCCGUCGCCAGCCUACCUUGUGAAAGAAACAAAGUCAGCUCAAUAGUACUACACUAAUACGACAGGUCGAGGUGUAACUUAUGGGGGGGUCCAAGAUGGGCUACAUUUUCUAAACCAGAAAAUACGAAUUAACCAAUGAAAAAGAAAUUGAAGGCGGAUUUAGCAGUAUACUGAGAACAACAAACUCUAUAGAAACUAUCGCAAUGAGGUGCGUACACACCGCCCGUCAUCCCUGUAAAUCAAAUACAAAAAAUAUAUAAA